CUAAUAAAAUUUAUCAUUCUGAACCAUGCCAGCGGCCGUUUUAAAGGAAAAAAAAGGUUGUAAAAGAAGAGGAUAACUAUUCAAGGAUUACGAAGAAAGUGCUUAUUUAACUUUGCAAAGAUCACAAAUUAUACAGAACAUCAUAUUUAAAUGAUGUUCUUUGCCUUCAUUAUAAAGGGUUUGCAAGGAUAGAAAACCUUGAGGAGUACACAGGCUUAAAAUGCUUAUGGUUGGAAUGUAAUGGAAUUCACAAGAUUGAAAACCUGGACAAUCAGAAAGAGUUGUGAUGCCUUUACCUGCAGCAGAAUAUCAUAUCAAAGAUAGAGAAUGUGGAACAUCUACAACAGCUGGAUACUCUUAAUGUCAGCAAUAACACCAUUUCCAAAAUUGAAAACAUUGGUGUCAUACCCAAACUUAGCACUUUACAGAUAUCGCACAACCGUUUAUCAACUGCUGAUGACUUGAGACAUUUGUCAGAAUGUUCUAAUCUGAGAGUUCUCGAUGUUUCCUACAACCGGAUUGAUGACCCUGAUGUCGUGAAAGUCUUUGAAUCCAUGGAAAACCUCCAUGUUCUUAACAUGAUGGGCAACCCGGUCAGAAGAUCAAGAAUUACCGGAAAGUAUUCAUCAUCAAAAUUAUAAGUGAACAAUGAAAGGUCUCAGAUACCUUGAUGACAGACCAGUUUUUCCUAGAGAAAGAGCUUGUGCUGAGGCAUGGGAAAAAAAAGGAGUGGAGGCUGUCCGGGAAGAAAGAGAGAGAUG